rnacentral:sRNA from 1 species
GCCAGGUGUGGUGAUGCACACCUGUAAUCCCAGCUACUUGGGAGACUAAGGCAGGAGCAUUGCAAAUUUGAGGUCAGCCUUGGCAAUUUAGCAAGACCCUGCCUCAA